GGCGCGUUUCCCUGGAAAGUUUUAGGCAAGUUUCGUUUCUGCAGAGGAAGAUAGGAAGAUUUCGACUUUGUUGGUUAAGUUCAAAGUUACCGAAGGGUCCCCUCCACCACUUGAAAACGAUUGCUCACUCACAGACUGAACUCUGCUUCAUUCAUAAAGCCUACCAUUGAUGAUAAAUCACUGCUAGGACACACCUCCACGGAAAUACACUGGUGAGCUCGUUGGGGUGGAGUUAGCCUAUUUGUAUCACCAGACUAGCCGUGCACUGGAGGACUACAAACGCACACUGGCUGCGUUGGAGACAGAUGAGGUGUCUGUGGCCGAGAAUGAAGGCUAUGUUGAGCCUGAGGUAGAGGAGUAGAGGACUUUACUGUCCCCAACCUGGAACCUCCCCCACUCGCUGGUCCCACUGCCACGGCUGCUGACGGCCUUGACUCGGCGCGGGUUCUGCUGAUGUAGCGCCUGCCGCGCAACCCACCAGCCGGUCCCCUGCGUUUGCCGUGCCAUCCGGCUGGUCCCCAGCACCUGCCACGCCACUCACAAUAGAUAACGCGUCUGACUACCGAUCAGAAGAUUCUAGGUUCGACUCCUAGCUGGCUCGGCUUUAACAUUUUAACAAUUAGGCUACGUAACGUAUAAGAUUGUAGCCUGGGAACCAGACGAGAGGAAAAAGAGGAGAAAACUAAAUUCUGUGGCACCUCUGUUUCAGUCUUCUGGCAUUUU